GCUGGGCAUGGUGGCGCACGCCUGUAAUCCCAGCUACUCAGGAAGCUGAGGCAGGAGAAUUGCUUGAACCCAGGAGGUAGAGGUUGCAGUGAGCCGAGAUGGCGACACUGCACUCCAGCCUGGGUAACAGAGCGAGACUCUGUCUCAA
rnacentral:SRP_RNA from 2 species